rnacentral:rRNA from 1 species
UUUUACAUUGAUAACUUUGGUAAUUCUAGAGCUAAUACAUGAACAAGUGUUCCAACCACGGCUUGCCGUUGGAAGGAUCGCAUUUAUUAGUACAAGACCAAUGACUCUUAUUCACCUGGAACCCUGUUCAGUGAUUUCGGUCGCUGUCUAAGGACCAGCAGUGGGGGUCUAAGCACUUUCGAGUGCAUUUCUUGUGAUGACUCUGAAUAACUGAGCAAAUCGUAUGGCCUCUGAGCCGACGAUGUAUCCCUCAAGCAACUGCCUUAUCAACUGUCGAUGGUAAGUUCUGCGCUUACCAUGGUUGUAACGGGUAACGGAGAAUCAGGGUUUGAUUCCGGAGAGGGAGCCUGAGAA